rnacentral:tRNA from 1 species
GCGCCCGUAGCUCAGUUGGAUAGAGCGUCAGAUUCCGGAUCUGAAGGUCGUGCGUUCGAAUCGCGCCGGGCGUACCA